CCACAGGUUCUUCUAAGAACCACCAUAAGCCAGAGCUGAGCAGUG
rfam:Erinaceus europaeus unplaced genomic scaffold scaffold00190, whole genome shotgun sequence